GCCAGGUGUGGUGGUGUGCACCUGUAGUCCCAGCUAUUCAGGAGGCUAAGGCGGGAGAAUCCCUUGAGCCCAGGAGUUUGAGGUUGCAGUGAGCUAUGAUUGCACCACUGCACUCCAGCCUGGGCAACAGAGAGAGAACCUGUCUCUA
rnacentral:sRNA from 1 species